UUAAUUUCGCUUGCACAGGCCCUUGCACAGGUAGACAAAAAUGAAUUUAUUUCGCGAUCUUAUUAAGUGUAUGCGGAUUGUAAAUAUAAAAGCCAAAAUAUUGCUUUGACAUGUAAACGGUUUGUAUAAUUUAUUUCAGUCGAGAUAUUUUUUCAAGUUGUGAAUAGGAAUUCGUUUCUUAGAAGAAAGUAAAGAUGGACAGAAAAGUAUUGGCAGCUUUUUUAUUUCUUGGACUCCGGGUUGCAAAUUUGAAUUGCGAAUGCCAACAAAAUUGUGAUAUUGGUCCACCAGGCCUACGAUCUGUUGAUUUGCGUGCAACAAAUCACAUCAAUAAAAUCAUCAAACGUGAAGAUGGACUCAUAAACAAGGAUAUGAAAAAAAAGAAACGAUUAAGAGAAAAGUUAUAGAUCCAUGUGAACCUCUUCUUUCUUAAAUGAUUUUAUUAUAGCUAAAUAAUGCCUUUGACGUAUACAAUCGUGAAAACAACGGAUUACGUAACACUAAAGACCAUUGCUAAAUAAAUAUAUAUAAAUAUUUCGCUUGUUUAUUUGGUAAAUCUAGUAUCUAAUAUAUUAUUAAAUAAAAAAUAUACACUUCAACCUUUUUUGUACAUUUGCGUCGAUAUCACUGAAUGAAUACCACUGAAUAAAUAUGACCACAAGGAUAAUGAAA